rnacentral:rRNA from 1 species
GGGUGAGUAACGCGUAGGCAACCUACCCUUUAGACGGGGACAACAUUCCGAAAGGAGUGCUAAUACCGGAUGUGAUCAUCUUGCCGCAUGGCAGGAUGAAGAAAGAUGGCCUCUACAAGUAAGCUAUCGCUAAAGGAUGGGCCUGCGUCUGAUUAGCUAGUUGGUAGUGUAACGGACUACCAAGGCGAUGAUCAGUAGCCGGUCUGAGAGGAUGAACGGCCACAUUGGGACUGAGACACGGCCCAAACUCCUACGGGAGGCAGCAGUGGGGAAUCUUCCGCAAUGGACGAAAGUCUGACGGAGCAACGCCGCGUGAGUGAUGAAGGAUUUCGGUCUGUAAAGCUCUGUUGUUUAUGACGAACGUGCAGUGUGUGAACAAUGCAUUGCAAUGACGGUAGUAAACGAGGAAGCCACGGCUAACUACGUGCCAGCAGCCGCGGUAAUACGUAGGUGGCGAGCGUUGUCCGGAAUUAUUGGGCGUAAAGAGCAUGUAGGCGGCUUAAUAAGUCGAGCGUGAAAAUGCGGGGCUCAACCCCGUAUGGCGCUGGAAACUGUUAGGCUUGAGUGCAGGAGAGGAAAGGGGAAUUCCCAGUGUAGCGGUGAAAUGCGUAGAUAUUGGG